GGAGUCCCUUAGACUCUAUGGAGAUCAAACCAGUUCAUCCUAAAGGAAAUCGGUCCUGGCUAUUCAUUGGAAGGACUGAUGCUGAAGCUGAAACCCCAGUACUUUGGCCACCCGAUGCGAAGAACUGACUCACUGGAAAAGACCCUGAUGCUGGGGAAGAUUGAAGGCAAGAGGAGAAGGGGACAACAGAGGAUGAGAUGGUUGGAUGGCAUCACUGACUUGAUGGACAUGAAUUUGAGCAGGCUCUCAGAUACACCAGUGAUACCUGCAUCAACUCUGGACCCCCGGUCAGUUGUCUUCCUUAAUGAAGUCUUCAUUCUUCUGAAGUUACUGAAAAGUGGAACUGCUGGAUGAGGAUGAAAGUUCAAGAUUCUCCAAUUUGAAACCUUCCAUGGAAUUUCAAUGUUCUUAUUAAUCCAUUAACCAAGUACUUCUUUUACAAGUUCAGCAAAAGCUCGAAAUCG
ensembl:lncRNA